rnacentral:RNase_P_RNA from 3 species
GGAGUCGGCCAGACAGUCGCUGCGCGCAAGCGUAGAGGAAAGUCCGGGCUCCACAGGGCAAGGUGCCAGGUAACGCCUGGGCGGCGUGAGCCGACGGAAAGUGCCACAGAAAAUACACCGCCGAUGGCCGGGCAACCGGAUCAGGCAAGGUUGAAAUGGUGCGGUAAGAGCGCACCGCGCCCCUGGCAACAGGGGUGGCAGGGCAAACCCCACCUGGAGCAAGACCAAAUAGGGGAACUAUGGCGUGGCCCGCACCGUUCCCGGGUUGGUUGCUUGAGGCGGAUGGCGACGUCCGUCGCAGAGGAAUGACUGUCCACGACAGAACCCGGCUUACCGGCCGACUCCUUCU